CCCUUUGGGGUGUGACUGCGUACCUUUUGUAUAAUGGGUCAGCGACUUAUAUUCUGUAGCAAGGUUAACCGUAUAGGGGAGCCGGAGGGAAACCGAGUCUUAACCGGGCGUUAAGUUGCAGGGUAUAGACCCGAAACCCGGUGAUCUAGCCAUGGGCAGGUUGAAGGUUGGGUAACACUAACUGGAGGACCGAACCGACUAAUGUUGAAAAAUUAGCGGAUGACCUGUGGCUGGGGGUGAAAGGCCAAUCAAACCGGGAGAUAGCUGGUUCUCCCCGAAAGCUAUUUAGGUAGCGCCUCGUGAAUUCAUCUCCGGGGGUAGAGCACUGUUUCGGCUAGGGGGCCAUCCCGGCUUACCAACCCGAUGCAAACUGCGAAUACCGGAGAAUGUUAUCACGGGAGACACACGGCGGGUGCUAACGUCCGUCGUGAAGAGGGAAACAACCCAGACCGCCAGCUAAGGUCCCAAAGUCAUGGUUAAGUGGGAAACGAUGUGGGAAGGCCCAGACAGCCAGGAUGUUGGCUUAGAAGCAGCCAUCAUUUAAAGAAAGCGUAAUAGCUCACUGGUCGAGUCGGCCUGCGCGGAAGAUGUAACGGGGCUAAACCAUGCACCGAAGCUGCGGCAGCGACGCUGAUGCGUUGUUGGGUAGGGGAGCGUUCUGUAAGCCUGCGAAGGUGGCCUGUGAGGGUUGCUGGAGGUAUCAGAAGUGCGAAUGCUGACAUAAGUAACGAUAAAGCGGGUGAAAAGCCCGCUCGCCGGAAGACCAAGGGUUCCUGUCCAACGUUAAUCGGGGCAGGGUGAGUCGACCCCUAAGGCGAGGCCGAAAGGCGUAGUCGAUGGGAAACGGGUUAAUAUUCCCGUACUUGGUGUUACUGCGAAGGGGGGACGGAGAAGGCUAUGUUGGCCGGGCGACGGUU
rnacentral:rRNA from 1 species